AGUAUCGUUUGUAAUGUACCUACUACCUAACUAGAGAUACAACUAUCGCAUGUGUUUUUUUAAGCGAAAAAAUCGAAUGCCGGAAAUCCCGGAAAUGCCGGAAAUGCCGGAAAGCAAUAACACGGACGAAGGCGAUAAUACUUGUAUGUACUUUGCGUUCGAAAUAUUUUAUAUAUCGUUUAUGGUAUUCGUGCUUUUUUCUCAUUUUUUCGUCGCAUUGUACUUGUUUGUGGCUUAUGGCAAUUAAAAACGGUAUAUGUACAUUUUUCGGGUAUCUUGCUUUACCCAGACUCGAUUAAAAAACAGCGAUCGAUUUUUUACCCAAAGGAGAAACCAAGCAUUUCAUCACCGAACGAAUUCACAGCGCUCAAGCUAUCAACAAAACGUAUAUAUUGAAAAUAGAUUUACUAUCUGGGAUAGAGACAAGCAAGCAGUUUGUGACGGCUACAUGGAAGGUUUAAACCCCGAAUCUACGGAAACGGACAUCAAUGUAUUGUUUAGCGACGGAGUAGCGGUAAAGUACGAACGUCGUGCAUACUAGCUACAAUUCCACAAAACAUCGUUGCUACUACUCACACAAUGAGUAGGCAACUUACACUUAUUAUUCGAUUAGAUCCUCCAGAGGUCAUUUCUACCGUAACUUUAUCAUUAAUAAUGUGCCCAAAAAUGUGAAUUCGACUUGAAAAAAAAAAACCACAGUCCCAUCCAAACAAUUUUUAAAAAUGAAACAUCAUUACUUUCAACUUCUGUAAUAACUUGCCUUGAAAAAUUAAAAUGAACUCAAAAGUACCUACUUUAUUUAUUAGAGUUCCUUAACCACUUUAUUAUGAAAAUUUACCCAAACUAAUAUUACCAAACACAAUGUGAAUUUUUUCUGUAUUAAAAAUAGUUUAGGUAUAGUUGUGUUUUAAUUAUAAAAUAAAAGUUUCCCUUUUAUGAUACCGGUAUUGUAUGUAUGUACCAGUAGGUAGGUCCCACUCCCAUACCACUGUGUAAUACCGGUUAAAUUAAGAUAUGAACUAAGUAUGUGUUUUAUAAAUAUUUUAUUUAUGUAUUGAACUACGUAUCGCGAUUCCAGUACUGUACCUUGAGGCAGGGCCGCACACUGAUAUCAAUACCAAAAUACAUACCAAUACCGGCAUUACCUACAAAUUUUGAAAAAAAAAAUUAGAAAUGCCUACCUACCAUUUUACCAAUACCGAUUCGCAGACAAACGAAGUACAUAUGUACCUACCUACUGAUAUAAAAUACUGAUGAAAGUUUUUGAAACUGUAUUAAUACCAAAAUAAUUUUCAAUGGUAUAUUUUGGUUACACUAAAAACUGGCUAAUACAUAUAGAUGGAAGUAUAUUAGUCCAGUAGAAUUAGCAAAAAAACAGGCUCUAUAGUGAAUCUGUAGGUGGCAAGCUGAUUUUUGGUAUACUGGUCCAUUUUGAUGCCCUGAAAACGAAUCUGAGGAGUCCCCUACUGUCCCGGGUGUGCUUUACCCCAAAUUGUGGAUCUUAGCCCCCCAAAAUCGGUUUUUGACCAAUUCAUCGAAAAAUAUUGACUCUAGCGCAAAAAUUGUUGAUGGAUGUUGUUCUACGUCAAAUUUCCCAUCAG